UACGAAGGGGGCUAGCGUUGCUCGGAAUCACUGGGCGUAAAGCGCACGUAGGCGGAUCUUUAAGUCAGGGGUGAAAUCCUGGAGCUCAACUCCAGAACUGCCUUUGAUACUGAAGAUCUCGAGUCCGGAAGAGGUGAGUGGAACUCCGAGUGUAGAGGUGAAAUUCGUAGAUAUUCGGAAGAACACCAGUGGCGAAGGCGGCUCACUGGUCCGGUACUGACGCUGAGGUGCGAAAGCGUGGGGAGCAAACAGG
rnacentral:rRNA from 1 species